rnacentral:tRNA from 1 species
UGUUCUGUAGCUUAGUUGGUUAAAGCGCCGGACUAGCGAUAACGGACUCGUGGGCUCGAAUCCCACCAAAACAA